ACAAAAUAACACCUCCCAACUCUCUGAAACAUUAAAACAAAAAAAUUUAAAAAAAAAGCUCACUCAAACAGUGUCCAAAUUAGGUUUAUAUAUUUAUGGAAACCUCUUCAGCCUUCUCGCACUCGAAGAUAUAUAUUUUUCUCUUAGCAAAAACGUGGUUUAUGAACUAAGAUCAUGAAGACUACCUUAACACUUGUGGUGUUCGUUGCCUUUGUCUUGGUUUUUGCAUCUCUGCAAUCAAAUGCUAAACGGCUGACUUUGAAAGACAACCACCGUAAGCUCAGCGAUGAUCGGCGCCAAAGCGAAACAAAUGCUGUCCCAACGGCUGGCGUUGGCGCCAAAGAUGCCAAAGACGUUGUGGCCGAUCAAAGUGAUGAAGAUGAUGUGAACCCGACUUAUCAACACUAUGGAGGUACUGGUUCGAAUCCAGACUCAUCAACCGACAGUCACCGUUAUUAUUCUGUGGAUGACCGUACCGGUCACCAAGAUUCGAGCUCGAACGAUGGUGGACGGAAGCCCAAGCACUGAGAUUAACUACUUCCAAUCAAAGAAUAUGGAUCAGCUGGCUAGCUCAUGUAAUAAUAGAUAAAUUCGAUGUGGCUAUAUAUAGGUUGGUUUCAUAAAUAAUUAAGUAGAACUAGCGUUUGGCAAAUAUGUUAGCACCUGAGUUCGGUUUCACUAUUGCGCGCUUGUUUAAUCUAGUGUGAUGGGGUGUGGCUCCUUAGGCCUAGCAUGUGUUAUGCUUGUGUAAUAUAUAUAGCUUGCAAUAAGGUAAUCGAAACCAAUAGAAUGCAUGCAUGGCUAGUUUGGCA